rnacentral:rRNA from 1 species
GGGCCCGCACAAGCGGUGGAGUAUGUGGUUUAAUUCGAUGCAACGCGAAGAACCUUACCAGGGUUUGACAUCCUGCGAAUCUCUUGGAAACAGGAGAGUGCCUUCGGGAACGCAGUGACAGGUGGUGCAUGGCUGUCGUCAGCUCGUGCCGUGAGGUGUCAGGUUAAGUCCUAUAACGAGCGCAACCCCUGUUGUUAGUUGCCAGCGAGUCAUGUCGGGAACUCUAACAAGACUGCCGGUGCAAACCGUGAGGAAGGUGUGGAUGACGUCAAGUCAUCAUGCCCCUUACAUCCUGGGCUACACACGUACUACAAUGCUACGGACAAAGGGCAGCAAGUUCGCGAGGACAAGCAAAUCCCAUAAACCGUGGCUCAGUUCAGAUCGUAGGCUGCAACUCGCCUACGUGAAGGCGGAAUCGCUAGUAAUCGCAGGU